UACGUAGGGUGCGAGCGUUGUCCGGAAUUAUUGGGCGUAAAGAGCUCGUAGGCGGUCUGUCGCGUCGGCUGUGGAAACUCGGGGCUCAACUCCGAGCUUGCAGUCGAUACGGGCAGGCUAGAGUUCGGCAGGGGAGACUGGAAUUCCUGGUGUAGCAGUGAAAUGCGUAGAGAUCAUGAGGAAGACCAGUGGCGAAGGCGGGUCUCUGGACAGUUCCUGACACUGAGGCACGAAGGCCAGGGGAGCAAACGGG
rnacentral:rRNA from 1 species